AAGAGAUUGUCUUUGAGUCUCCAGCUGGAAUAGGAUUGUUUUGUCUUCACCACCCUGUGAAAAGAUCCCAGUAAUACUGAAUAUAAAGCUCAAAGCUGCACACCAAAGCAGAAUACAAAAAUGUAAAACCUAAGGGCUGAUGGAAUGCUGAGACUUGAAAUCUGUUCUGACAGCUCCUGGCAGGGUGAUCUGUGAGGAGGGGCUUUCCUGGAGCUGGGUGCCAACAUCCACUGAGGCCAGUGGAGCAGGCAGGGUACUGGAUUUUGCUCGGUAGGACUGAUCCUGUCCUCUGCUGUGGGAAUGUUCAUCGUUUUAGCAGCCCUGUGGCUAGAGAUCCAUGUGUCUGCAAACACCAGUGGGAAGCCUUGGAGAAAAAC